rnacentral:rRNA from 1 species
UACGUAGGGUGCAAGCGUUGUCCGGAAUUAUUGGGCGUAAAGAGCUCGUAGGCGGUCUGUCGCGUCUGCUGUGAAAACUCGAGGCUCAACCUCGAGACGUCGGCGGAAACCAUCUGGCUAGAGUCCGGAAGAGGAGAGUGGAAUUCCUGGUGUAGCGGUGAAAUGCGCAGAUAUCAGGAGGAACACCGGCGGCGAAGGCGGUGCUCUGGGCCAGUAUUGACGCUGAGGAGCGAAAGCGUGGGUAGCAAACAGG